CGGGUUUCUCAUGCGAGAAAAGUCAACGUUUUUCCAGCGGUCAAUACGAGAAGCUAACUGGCGACCGGGUGUCGGAAGGAUAACAAGAUCAGCCAGCAGGUGGAGCAAAUUUUAUCGAAGGGAAAUAUAAGGAAUCCCAACAUUGGUACAGUCGAACAUGGGGAAUAACUCUAUAUGAAAAAAUAUAUCAGAGAUACGGAGUACAAUCUUUUUGUACGAGCUGGUUGUUAAUCGACACAGUAUGAUAUUUAUGAUUAGAAAAAGUAU
rnacentral:misc_RNA from 1 species